GAUGAACGCUAGCGGCAGGCCUAAUACAUGCAAGUCGGACGGGAUUCAGGAGCUUGCUUCUGAUGAGAGUGGCGCACGGGUGCGUAACACGUAUGUAACCUACCUUUAUCAGGGGGAUAGCCUCUCGAAAGAGAGAUUAAGCCCGCAUAAAAUCACAGCACAGCAUUGUGUAAUGAUCAAAUAUUUAUAGGAUAAAGAUGGGCAUGCGGAACAUUAGCUAGAUGGCGGGGUAACGGCCCACCAUGGCGACGAUGUUUAGGGGAUCUGAGAGGAUGGCCCCCCACACUGGUACUGCGACACGGACCAGACUCCUACGGGAGGCAGCAGUAAGGAAUAUUGGUCAAUGGGCGGAAGCCUGAACCAGCCGUGCCGCGUGCAGGAAGACGGCCCUACGGGUUGUAAACUGCUUUUAUACGGGAAUAAACCCAGAUACGUGUAUCUGGCUGAAUGUACUGUAAGAAUAAGGAUCGGCUAACUCCGUG
rnacentral:rRNA from 1 species